GAUGAAGAACGUAGUGAAAUGCGAUAAGUAAUGUGAAUUGCAGAAUUCAGUGAAUCAUCGAAUCUUUGAACGCACAUUGCGCCCCUUGGUAUUCCGGGGGGCAUGCCUCUUCCAGCGUCAUUUCACCCCUCAAGCUCUGCUUGGUUUUGGGCCGCGCCGGCAACGGCGGGCCUCGAAAAUAGUGGCGACGCCAUCGUGCUCUCAGCGUAGUAAUUCUUCUCGCUGUUGGGUCCCGGUGGUCGUCCGCCAGCAACCCCCAACUUUCUUAAGUUUGACCUGGGAUGAGGUAGGGAUACCCGCUGAACUUAAGCAUAUCAAUACGCGGAGGA
rnacentral:misc_RNA from 1 species